AAUCAACGCUGGCGGCGUGCCUAACACAUGCAAGUCGCACGAGAAAGGGACUUCGGUCCUGAGUACAGUGGCGCACGGGUGAGUAACACGUGAAUAAUCUACCUCCGAGUGGGGAAUAACUGAGAGAAAUCUUAGCUAAUACCGCAUAACACUUACGAGUCAAAGCAGCAAUGCGCUUGGAGAGGAGUUCGCGGCAGAUUAGUUAGUUGGCGGGGUAAUGGCCCACCAAGACGAUGAUCUGUAUCCGGCCUGAGAGGGCGCACGGACACACUGGAACUGAAACACGGUCCAGACUCCUACGGGAGGCAGCAGUGGGGAAUUUUGCGCAAUGGGGGAAACCCUGACGCAGCAACGCCGCGUGGAGGAUGAAAUCCCUUGGGAUGUAAACUCCUUUCGAUCGGGAAGAUAAUGACGGUACCGAGAGAAGAAGCCCCGGCUAACUUCGUGACAGCCGCCGCUGUAAC
rnacentral:rRNA from 1 species